rnacentral:rRNA from 1 species
UCCUGGCUUAGGACGAACGCUGGCGGCGUGCCUAACACAUGCAAGUCGAGCGAGGAGAUUCCUUCGGGAUGAUCCUAGCGGCGGACGGGUGAGUAACACGUGGGCAACCUGCCUCAUAGAGAGGAAUAGCCUUCCGAAAGGGAGAUUAAUACCUCAUAACAUUGCAGUUUCGCAUGGAACAGCAAUUAAAGGAGUAAUCCGCUAUGAGAUGGGCCCGCGGACGCAUUAGCUAGUUGGUGAGGUAACGGCUCACCAAGGCGACGAUGCGUAGCCGACCUGAGAGGGUGAUCGGCCACAUUGGGACUGAGACACGGCCCAGACUCCUACGGGAGGCAGCAGUGGGGAAUAUUGCACAAUGGGGGAAACCCUGAUGCCAGCAACGCCGCGUGAGUGAUGACGGCCUUCGGGUUGUAAAGCUCUGUCUUCAGGGACGAUAAUGACGGUACCUGAGGAGGAAGCCACGGCUAACUACGUGCCAGCCGCGGC